rnacentral:rRNA from 1 species
AACCAACCGGGAUUGCCUUAGUAACGGCGAGUGAAGCGGCAAAAGCUCAAAUUUGAAAUCUGGUACCUUCGGUGCCCGAGUUGUAAUUUGGAGAGGGCAACUUUGGGGCCGUUCCUUGUCUAUGUUCCUUGGAACAGGACGUCAUAGAGGGUGAGAAUCCCGUGUGGCGAGGAGUGCGGUUCUUUGUAAAGUGCCUUCGAAGAGUCGAGUUGUUUGGGAAUGCAGCUCUAAGUGGGUGGUAAAUUCCAUCUAAAGCUAAAUAUUGGCGAGAGACCGAUAGCGAACAAGUACAGUGAUGGAAAGAUGAAAAGAACUUUGAAAAGAGAGUGAAAAAGUACGUGAAAUUGUUGAAAGGGAAGGGCAUUUGAUCAGACAUGGUGUUUUGUGCCCUCUGCUCCUUGUGGGUAGGGGAAUCUCGCAUUUCACUGGGCCAGCAUCAGUUUUGGUGGCAGGAUAAAUCCAUAGGAAUGUAGCUUGCCUCGGUAAGUAUUAUAGCCUGUGGGAAUACUGCCAGCUGGGACUGAGGACUGCGACGUAAGUCAAGGAUGCUGGCAUAAUGGUUAUAUGCCGCCCGUCUUGAAACACGGACCUCCUGUGUGAGGG